rnacentral:tRNA from 1 species
UUGGCCAAGCGGUAAGGCGAUGGACUCUGACUCCAUUAUUCGUAGGUUCGAAUCCUACA